ensembl:lncRNA
CGCUGUUGCUGAUGAGACCUACCACAGUUGUGUCAUCCGCAAACUUGAUGAUGUGGUUGGAGCUGAACUUGGCAGUGCAGUCGUGGGUCAGCAGCGUGAAGAGCAGUGGGCUGAGCACACAGCCUUGUGGGGCACCUGUGCUCAGUGUGGUAGUGCUCGAGGUGUUGUGGCCGACAUGGACUGACUGAGGUCUUCCAGUUAGAAAGUCCAGGAUCCAAUUACAGAGGGAAUUGUUAAGGCCCAGCAGGUUUAGUUUCUUAAUGAGCUGUUGUGGGAUUAUUGUGUUGAAUGCUGAGCCGAAUUCGAUGAACAGCAUUCUGACAUAGGAGUCUUUAUUUUCUAGGUGGGUAAGAGCCAGGUGGAGGGUGGAGGAAAUUGCAUCGUCUGUAGAUGCAUCUCCAUUGUAGAUGCUGUCUCCAUUUUCACACAAAUGGAGACUGCAUGAAGGAAAAGACUUAAUGUUGUUAUGGUUAUAUUUUUGAUUCUGCAGAACAUAAAAGGGGAUUUAUGAAAAUUCUAGUGUUAGCAAUUUGUUGUGCUUUUUAAUUUUUUAUUAGUUGUUGUUAUUUCCAUCCAUCAAUCCAUC